rnacentral:lncRNA from 1 species
GGGGUCUAGUUUUAUAGUCCCCUCAAGUGAACAUGAGCCAUUGGAUCUAACCGACAUUGAUUGGACGGUUAUCCUUGAUCCUUUAGGUCGGUGGAACAUCGUCCGCGAAAAGAGUCCUGAUCCAACUCCAGGAGGGGGCAGGCGCCCAGGUUAACUGGGCGGGCGCCCAGUGCCUGGCCCCAUUCGACCUCCGCUUCCUUCCCGUGGCUUCUGGAGUCUUCUAGAUGGUAGAAAAUUGCGCGGUGCGUUGAUAUCUCUACGUAAUCCCGACAUGUGGGCCUUUCUUCCUUAUUUCCUGAUAACCCCCUGCAGAAACAGAUAAACAACAAAACUCGUGGAAUUCUGUUAGAUCAAACCCUAAUUCUAGGUGUUGUUUGCAUAUUGGUCCUUUCUCUUGUUUAUUUGAUAAUUAAAAUUGAUACUUAAGAACCGUCAACAAAUACCCCCAUACUUAGGCUUUUACUCGUCCUCGAGAAAAGGAUGGUUAAGAACAAUAUCUGGGGUAAAACAUUUUAAAACAUUCUCUUCAUACCUGCAGGGUGUUAAAAUCCACUGUGUACUAUAGUCAGGGAAGUAUAUGGUUAAGAGUAAAGAUCUUUUUUCUCAUUCCUAUCACUUGGAGUUUUUGUAUAUUUUUUAAAAGAAAGUUAACAUACCUCUAUCCUCAUAGGUUCUCUUAGAUCACUCAUCAUCUUUUAUAUAUCUCGCUGAGGCUGUUUUAAUUUGUAAAAAUUCUCAAGCAUACUUACUUUGCAUUUAUUGCCUGAUCAAAACGGGAUCCAUGGAGGGGAAUGUCAUACUCUUAGAUCAAAGACUUUGGAAAUUAAAAACUUUGUCAACUCUUGCUGGCAUAUUGCUUAUUAGAGGGACCAUGGGCUAUCAUUUUCUUUCUUUUCUCUUUUCUUUUUUUUAAGUGGAUACCGAGGUACCCCUAAUUCUACUGCCGGACACUUGUCCAUUUUUUCUGCAAGGUUAUCGAGCACUUGCUCCUUUUUAUUUCCUCGAAAUAUCCUUAUUUUUGCAUAGCCCAUGCCUCUAAUGCAAUAAUACUUCGAAAGAGUGAAUCUUUCUGAAUAAAUGUCUUGAUCUUAGGAGCAUGAUAAAUCUCUCAACAAGGGUCUAACUCAUUUUGAACAAACUCAAUACAGAGUAGAUAGCUUUUAUAAUAGAAUUAAUAUUUUUAGGUUUAAUAGGCAUAUAAAACACUGAGGAUGGUAGCUAGAAUUCUUGAAUAAAUUCUCCAAGCAACAAUGAUAUGAAGAAUAAGAAACUCAUACUCUUCCAUUCCACAAUGACUUAAGUAACACAAGGUUUUAAAAUGAUUUUCAAUAAUUUGUAGUUUCCAGGAAAUAUCAGAGAAUGAGAUUAAUCAUGAUUAGAAACAUUUUAAUCUUUUUAAUCUAUCAUGUCGGAAACAAUAUUCUACAUAAUCCAAGAUAUGUGUAUGUGUAAAGUGUGCAGAGUGUGUACCUGAAUCAUGGAGUGGUGUAGUCGAAGUGUGUUUGGCAUGUCGAGGGAUCUCCCCCAUACUUGUUUUCUGCUUUCUUGCACAAAAGUAAAGUAGAGACAUACAAGACAUAAUAAUAAUAAUAAUAAUAAUAAUAAUAAUAAUAAUAAUAAUAAUAAUAAUAAUAAUAAUAAUAAU